rnacentral:lncRNA from 1 species
GACAGGCACGUCUCUUCCUAAGAAUGGCUGGGAGACUAGAAUGGCAGCUGUCUCAGAGAAAAUGCAAGUCACUGGGGGCAGGAAAAAGAGGAGACACAGGACAGCCGGCUCCCUCCGCUGCCUUUUCACCUUUUCUCUACUUCCUAAACCACCCCCUUGGCUGCCUUGUUGGCAGAUGUGAACUGGAAAAGCCUGCUUGGGGUGCCAUGUGAAGAUCAGCCCCACUGCAUCGGUGAGUCAGUCACAGGCUGUGCAGGGAACUCACUCACGGAGCUGGGUGGCCUGAGGAUGGGCUGUCCUGGCUAGAGAGCCUUGGCACAACCAUGCUCUCCAAUGGAGGACAAAAGAGAGAAAUACCAGGCUUGCGGCUGCUUUGAGUGGUCCCACAGUUGAAAUGCCAGGGAAUAUGAUUGGUGCAAUGAACCAUGUGGAUCGCCUACAGAGUUCCUCUGCGUGGAGGUCCAGUGUGGCUUUAUUUCACAAUCCCAAAAGCAUGAUGAUGUUCCUUUCUGAAAUCUGCUUUGGGGGCUCAGAAUUUUAACCUAAGACCACUUGGGUAUCUUCUGCAUAUUGAAUAAAGGUAAGAAAGGCAGUGGGAGGGAGUGAGCAGUGAGUGGAGAAUCAAGCAGUUGGGUCAUUCUCAGGCAAAGGCAGAGGAUCUCCCACAGUUUAGGUGAGAAAUGUAUCCUCCCCACAAGCACCUAGUGAGCACAGACAGAAUCCCUACUCCCCAGAAGCAGCCUGGGAGGGGUCUGUAAUCAUUAGCUCCGGCCUGAUAAUAAAUCAUAAACACAGCUUUGUUUUUUCUGAGAUAGAAGUCAGGGACUGAUGGGUGUGGUAGGCAUGGAGGGUGUUAAAAAAAUAGAUAUUCCAUGAAUUCCCCAAAUAUAUCUUAAAAACAGUCUCAAUAAACCUCAUGACUAAAGGGCAUUUAGUUAACAAACUCCCUCAGAGGCUCUUAACUUCCUCAGUGAACUGUGUGAGAGAAACCUUGACAACAGUGUCCAGGUGGGUUUCUGUGCUCUGUCCAGGGAUGCCAGCCACUGUGCUAGGCUUCAGAGGCUAUGCAUGGAAUUUAACAAAAACAAUACUGCUUGUAUCUCUAAUUCCACACCCCAGCUAUAUCGAAGGCUGGGGCCAAGUGAUUACCUUGAGUUUUGGAUACAACACAGAUAAUCAAGUUCGGCAAUUCCAGGCUAAAAAGAAACAAAAAAGGUUUCCUUCUUAUUCAGAUAAGAAAUCUAAAUAGAUAUUUCCCCAUGUAUCACAUAACUGUGUGGCUGUACAGACUUAGUAAUAGCUCCUUGAAAGUCUUUUUUAAAAUUCUUUCACAAGAACUCAAAAGUUCCACUUUUGGUGGCCUGUUUUUUUGUCUUUGUUUUUUUUUUAAUGGAUGGUUUUUGAUAAAGACAGACAUAUUAUAAUUGCCGUUGGGAUUGUUAGAAUGUUUUAUUUUGUAACUAUAGAUACAGUCAGUACAUCCUCUUUCACCAUUAGAUAUUGCAUCAUUCCUCUGUAUUGUCUUGUGUCUAUUUCCUCUCCAACCUAGGACUACUCACAAAACAAAACAGAUAUUCCUAAAUUACAUUAAUGACAGUCCUGACUUAGUGUAAAUAGACAGAAAAGGAGUCCAAGCUCCUCAUGACUGGAGCCAUGUCUCAUCCUUUAGUGGGUUCCCAGUGCCUACGACAUUCCUCCAUGUAGAGCUGAUGCCUAAUAAAUAUUAGUUCAAUUCACUGCAGGGGAUUUCACGAGCUCCUAGCCACUUGUGAGUCACCAGUGUCUGUACAGCUAAUUGGCAGUCAGGACCUAGGAUAUAAAUGGAACUAGGCAACACAGGGACUGUGAGGCCACCCUCCCUCCAUACUAAGAUUUCUCCAAGUGUGGCCUGCCAACCACCAGCAUCAAAGUCACCAGGGU